rnacentral:rRNA from 1 species
CGCGUAGGCGGUUUGUCGAGUUAGGCGUGAAAGGCCUGGGCUUAACCCAGGAAUGGCGCUUGAUACUGACGAUCUGGAGAUCGGGAGAGGAGAGUGGAAUUCCCAGUGUAGAGGUGAAAUUCGUAGAUAUUGGGAAGAACACCAGUGGCGAAGGCGGCUCUCUGGCCCGCAUCUGACGCUAAGGCGCGAAAGCGUGGGGAGCAAACAGGAUUAGAUACCCUGGUAGUCCACGCUGUAAACGAUGAGUGCUAGACGUUGGGGGGCUUGGCUCCUCGGUGUCGCAGCUAACGCGGUAAGCACUCCGCCUGGGGAGUACGGUCGCAAGAUUAAA